rnacentral:rRNA from 1 species
GGGCCCGCACAAGCGGAGGAACAUGUGGUUUAAUUCGAUGAUACGCGAGGAACCUUACCCGGGCUUAAAUUGCAACUGAAUAGACGAGAGAUCGUUUAGCUAGCAAUAGCAGUUGUGAAGGUGCUGCAUGGUUGUCGUCAGCUCGUGCCGUGAGGUGUCGGCUUAAGUGCCAUAACGAGCGCAACCCUUGUCGCCAGUUACUAACAGGUAAUGCUGAGGACUCUGGUGAGACUGCCAUCGUAAGAUGCGAGGAAGGUGGGGAUGACGUCAAAUCAGCACGGCCCUUACGUCCGGGGCUACACACGUGUUACAAUGGAGGGUACAGAAGGCAGCUACACGGCGACGUGAUGCUAAUCCCAAAAACCUUUCUCAGUUCGGAUCGAAGUCUGCAACCCGACUUCGUGAAGCUGGAUUCGCUAGUAAUCGCGCAUCAGCCAUGGCGCGGUGAAUACGUUCCCGGGCCUU